GGAACAGACAGGCUGCUGUGUCUUGCAGCUUUCUGCUUAGUGUCCUCCUGCAUCACCGAUGCCAAGGACAAAUGCCCCCUUCAUCUCUUGGGCAAGCUGCUUCAGCUGUUGGUAUGAAAAAAAUAGAUGGAGGCUCUUCCACCUGUGAACUGUUCAUCACUUUGCUCUUAAGGCUGUGAACUUACAGUAUGUGUAAGCCUGUAAGGUCCAAUUUGUCUUAAACAUAUUUCAGUGAAAUUGUUCCUGUCAAUGGCUUUGGAAUUCCACCCCUUUCCCCCUUUUCCUUUUCAAUUCAGAAGAUUUUCAAAAGGCACAGCAGGGACUACAAUACGAAGCCCGCAACUGCUUCCCACAGCCGUCUAUCUAUCCCGAGGAUCUUUGCUCUUCAUUAGUUUCUCUAUGAACUAACGAGCAACGGCCCAUGCACAGAGCUAGAAUGAACCAUAAAACAUCAUUGCUGUUAAUGGAGGACAGUCUGUGAAAAUAUGCCAGUUCCACCAUAGGGUGUGCAAGAGGGAGAACUGGAACUCUUACUAUACCUCAUUCGAAUGAUGAAUGAAAACGCUGAGCCGUUUCUCCAAGACAGAUGAGCACUCAGAGUUUGCAAAAGGUUGUCUGGGUAGGGCACAUCUAUAAAACUUGCUGUUUUGAAAGAUGACUGCAGAACCUUUCUGUGUGGGUAUUAAUGGUGCUUAAAAUGUAUUCUUGAAUAUACACAUCUGCUUACCGUUAAGGUAGAUAUAAAAUAGCACGCCAUGCUUCACAACUCUUUCCCUUAAUAAAUAGAUUAGUGCAACCGGCUGCCAGAUUUCAGCUUCAUAACUUUACUAAUGUAAAUGGGGAGGGGGGGAGUUUAGUUAUGGAUUUGACAAAUGCUGCUAUCCACUGCUGAACCACCAUAAUUUUUAUCAGGAGAUGUGCCGAAGUACCGGUGAAUAAUUUGGGCAUCUGGCAAAUUGUAACUUCCAUUUCUUCCUCAAAAGAACCAUUGCCUAUUGUCCGUGCCAUCUUUCCACUCUGUGGCCAGGAAAUUGCUGCCCACACUGUGAUGCCAUUGCUUCUCGAGCAGAAUUUUUAUUUCAUUCAUUAUGGUUUCUUUUUGUGAGAUGUGGUAUAAUGCACAUUAAAAGAACAGAGAUAUGUGCCCGUUAAUGCCUAAACAAAACCAUCUCAUUUAUGCGAUGAAGCUGAACCUUGAAGGUCUUCUUAGUUUUUUGUUUUGUCUUUUUAAUAAUAUUACUUUGAAAGUCAUGGAUUAUAAACUUGGCAUGUAUUAGGCAGAUGUCAUCAGGGUUUGACCUCUGAGGUCAUGCAGGUCACAUGUUGAUUCCGUCUUCCCUUUGUUGCCAUUGAUGCUGGUGGCUGGAAGUCAGGAUGCCAGCAAUGCAGCCCAGAAUCCCCAGAUGUGGGAAUCAGGUGAUCUCAGAGAGGCAAUCACACAUUUCUGCCUGUUACGAACACCUCUCUGAAUUGUUGCAUGUCUAGACCCCGCAACCAUCCCCUCGUUGAAGAAGAAAGCACAUCAGGACACAGAUAUUAGGUUAAUGUUAUUGGGCAAAUUUUGGCCACAACUUUAUUGAUUACAGAAUUUGAGCGGUAAUUGGCUUAGGCAUUGAAUGGACCAGACUAUAUCCAACUCUUGUCCGUUGCACAGGGAGUCCGGUAAGGGUAAACCACCAGAAGGGGGAGCCCGGUCGAUGCAGACCAACUCGAGCUCCCCCAGGUUUUCCCGAUGGAGUCAUGUCAUGGCCCUAGCCCCGCCCAGACUUUGGACAAGAUCCACACCCGCAGAUUCCUUUAAUGGAAUACCCUUAAGCUUAGAGAGGCAGGUGAUGGCCACACCUCCCCUCCCCCAUCAAAAGGUCAAACAAUGCCUAACCGCAAAACCUUACAAAGUUGUGAUGAUUGCUAUGAAGUAGGUGAGAACCAAAUGGCCCAUACCAAUUUGCCAAGUGGAAAAAUUCCUACCAGGCCCCUCAAUGGUGACCAACCGAGGUCUAUAGCAAGGCCAGUGUAGAAAACCUGCAAAAAGGGAGGGAGGGAGGGAGAAUGAGGAAGCGAGCCAAGAGGAAGCUUGUACCCCCAAUUAAAUGGUCCUGGCCACGCCCCCACCAGCCAGCAGAUUGGCUGGCUGGUCGCUGGCAAAGCCAGGAUCCCCUGGGUAACGUGGGACUACAUCCCCCAUCCCCAGAGGAGAGUGGGUGGCCACGCGGUCCACCGCAACUCCUCCCCACAGUGAAGUGGGGCGGACUUGCAUAUCCUCAGUCAGGGCAGCUAGUUACAGAAGUUGGCUCUGAAAUCCUGCCUCCCUUGCUGAUUCACUGACUCAGAUAUUUGUUGGCAUGUGGACCUGAGUGACCAACAGUACUGCUGUGAUUUAUUAUUUAUGAAUUGGUUAGCAAGAUGCCCAUCUUUAUGACUGGCUGAUGUAAUUAGUUAUUUAAUGGGUAGGAUGUAAAUAUUCAGGUAGUUGUAUCUGAUACCACCAGGAGGACAUUCUCAGUGCAGUCCUGCAUUCUGCUUACAUGUUGUUGUUAACCAGGAGUAGAAUUAGUUCUGUACACACACACACACACACACACACACACACAAAUGUGCAAGAUUUCCCAUUCUAAACCCCACUGCUAAUCUUACCCAAGACCUAAAAAGAUUAUGAUUGCUACACAUGCAUAAUUCAGCCCUUAUUUAAAGGUCCCUCACCCUCCAUUUUCUUCCAUUGACCUUCAUUGAUUUUCUGCUGCUUGCAGUUUGCGGCAGCUCUUUGAAUGUCACCUAUUUCAUUUUAAAUUGGUAACACUAUAGAAUACAUAGGGGAUUUCAGUAAUGCAAAAUGCAAAAUGCAUGCAAUUUGAAUCCUCAAAAAAAGAGAAAAAAAAAGUUCCCUGUAGUCUAGCUUCACUAAUCCUCGUCUUUAAAAGCAAUUGCUUUUAAAUAUCAACUAACCUACAUAUUGAGAGCUAGCACAGUAUGGCAAGUAAGAGGAUGAAUUCCAUGACAGGAAGUCUCUGAUUCACAGCUCACCUUUUAAAUGGCAUUAGACAAGCCACAGUCUUUCUUAGCCAUAGGGUUAAUAAAGUUGGUCUGCAGAACACAGACUUUGUAAGGAUACCUGAGUUAAUGAUUGUGAAGUGGUUUGAAUUAGGACAGAGUCAAAAGGGAAGUCCCUUUCUUCUUCUUCUUUUGCCGAAGCACAUGGUGACUUUGGGUAUUGCUCCAAAAGCGAAUGGAAAAUCGAUCUAUCUAUUUAUUUGUCUAUUUAUUCAACUUAUAGCAUGCACUUCUUCCAGAAGGAGCCCAGGGUGGCAGAGUGGGAUUGGUCCAUUCAGAGAAUGGGCAACCCUACUCCAGAAUGAAUUUGCUUCAUUUUCAACUGGAUUUGUCAACUCUUGGUAACGUUGUGUCAGGAACGUCCCUUCCCAGAGCAACAGCGAGGACCCCAAAGGGGAGGGAUGGCAGGCUGGGGAAAACAGGGGCUUGCCUUCUUCCCAUGCUGAGGGUGGUGCAAGCCCCUCCUGUCCUGGAAUGCAGGCUGUAAAUUCCCGAGGUAGCAUGGGUCAGACAGAGGCAAGUUCAGAGGAAUUGCAGCCUUUAGACAUCGCUCUGAGGGGGGUGGAGAUGUCUCCAGAGGGAGAUGGGCAAACUGUCCCCAUGGACACGGCAAAGGAGUAGGGUCCAGGCUUGGCUUUAGUCCAACAGGAGGAAGGGCAGCCGAUGGAGGAUAUCCUGUUGGAGGAGGACCCACUUUUGAGUGAGCUCAAUGUCAUCUUUGGCAGAUGAUUGAGCUGUGAGCUUGGACUGAAACUACUGUGUAAAUACUAAUCAAUCUAAGUGCAAUUAAACCGCCAGCUUGCCGUGUUCUUGGUGUGAGAGGUACAUCUGUAAUCCUGACACGUUGUGCCUUUGUUUCUCCUCUUACCUUCCUGCUCCUUUUCCUUUUGUGUGAUUUAUUUUCUUGUAAGCUUAGGGGAAGGAAUUGUCUCAUUAAAGUUAGCCCCACAAUAGAGGAAUGGCAGACCAAACUGAUGGACUAUGCAGAGAUGGCAAAAAUGACGGGGAGAAACAGAAACCAGGAAGACCAGAAUUUCAACAAAGAAUAGGGGGAAUUCAUAAUUUACUUUGGAGACCACUGUAAACAUUUGAGCUCUUUAGCAGGAUUUGAAUAACACUUGUAGUGUAACAAGAACUUUGGAUAUAUGGGAUACUUUUAAAAAAUGGAGUAAAAUAUGCAACGGAAAGGGACUAGUGCUGGAACCCACAGAAGGGUGGGGAGAAGUCCAGAGAUUUGGGUGAAUCUUUGUUUAUUUGCCUUCUUAUUACAGUACUUAUAACUUUGAAUAUAAAUUGUAAUAUGUAAAACCAAAUAAAAACUAUUAUAUAUAAAAAAGCAACCAUCAGUACAGUGGUACCUCGGGUUAAGAACUUAAUUCGUUCUGGAGGUCCGUUCUUAACCUGAAACUGUCCUUAACCUGAGGUACCACUUUAGGUAAUGGGGCCUCCUGCUGCCGCCGCACCACUGCCACACAAUUUCUGUUCUCAUCCUGAAGCAAACUUCUUAACCGGAAGCACUAUUUCUGGGUUAGGGGAGUCUGUAACCUGAAGCAUCUGUAACCCGAGGUAGCACUGUACAUCUGAAAUAAAAUAUAUGACAAAAGCUUUUAAAAAAAAGAUAUUUGUGAGUGGGGCAGCCCAAGUCAUUUUGCUACCCGAGAUAGAUAAGAUGGAUACUUUAGGGGCACAGGGUGCUGCAUCAAGCAUACAAUGGAUAUAAAUUUCCAUGAAUCUCCCAAAGAGACUGAUCCCUGGUUCCUUCAACUGCACCAGCUCACAGCUGGUUUAGGGAAAAGUACCAGUCUUCACAGGAGUGAACCAGCAGAAUCAUUGACUCAGUGGUAGGUAUAUUGCACUAUUUCUGUCUGUGCAACAUUAGGAUUGUCAUGCCAUUCAGGGUGGAAAGGUAGGUAAGGUAGUUUAGCUGAUGCAAAUAUUACAAAAUAUUACCUUGCUGGGCUAUUGACAGCAAUACGUCACUGUUGGAAGAGAAAGAAUGAUAUUCUCACUGUGUGAACGUAGAGUAACAUGGAAUAUCAAUACUUCCAUAAUAAUGUUUCUUGGUUGACAAAAUACAGAGCAAAGCUAAAAGUAGAACCCAUUCUCAUAGGGGAGAUCAUAUCAUGGUAAAAAUCUGUGCUAAGUAUAAAAAAGAUUUAGCAUCCUCACAGUCGUCUGUUGCCUAGGUUCUUUAUGUUUGUUGCUUUAUAUGUUAGCCAUUUUAGUUUGGGGAAAAGAGCUACCAUGAACACUAUCAUUUGCAUAUAUGUGGCAGAUUUAUGCCAUAGAACACCAUCAGGAAGAAAAUGCAAGAUCAUCUCCUUAAUUGUUUCUCUCUCACACACCCUCUCUUUGAAAGAAAAAUCUUGCCAUGUCUGAAAACAAACAGUGGUCUUCUUUUAAAACCUAAUGGUAUUUUGAUCGCUAUGCACCACACAUUGCAGGCAGUGCAAGAACUCCCAGCCCUAUGUACCUGUUACCCAAUGGAGAUAUAUCUGCCUGACAGAUCUAGCAAUCUCAACAAACAUACUAGUUAACACAGAGAAAGCAUCAAGUGAGUAAGCCCCUGCAGGCUGCUAGGGCUGUUUUGGAGGGUGGGAGGUAUAUCGAUUUCUUGAAAGCACAUUUAAAUGAAGAAAUAUAUGUUUGCAAUAAUGUUACAUACCUGCAAUAUUAUUAUUUUUUUAAAAAAUAAAAAAAAUAGAAUUUCAGGUGCCUCUUUAAGGAUCCUAGGUUUUAAACAAUUUUGAUGGGACAUGAUUUAUUUUCAAAAUAUUUCCAAAAAAUCAAUAAAAUCCCAUGUAUACCAACUAAAUUAUACAAGGGGUGAUUUUUAAAAUGUUAUUAAAGCAGCAACAGGAGAUGCCCAUGCCACAGGCUGGAUGAUCUGAGAAACGGCCAGUGAAAAUGAAACGUGGGACAUUCGUUAGUAAUUUCUUGGAAAAGGGCUUUUUGAAGAAAAGUGAAAAUGUCAAUCCAGCAGCAGAAGAAUAGUGUAGAAAGAUAGGUUUGUCUCCAAUACUAAUCCUACUAAGAGUAGACUUGCUGAAAUUAUGGAGCCUGAGGUUAAUGUUAAAAGUUAAUGUUCAUUAACUUCAGUGAGUCUGUUCUGAGUAGGAAGUAAUUGUCUACAACCGAUAGAAUAGUAAUCUACAAUUAGUAGUUAUUAAUGCACAGGCAGGACAAUAUUAAUGAAAUAACUGAUAUUGUGCAUAAUUGGGAAAAUUAUUCUAUAGUGGAAUAGGAAUAUCCCUUAAGAAAAUGCAUUCACAAAAAUAAUAGAAGUAUUGUAAAGCUGGUGUUUUGAGUACCUGUGACUUUUUUGCUCACAGUCUAAAAAUUGUUUAUUCAUUCAUUGUUGUAAAUAAGUGUCCCGGACAACAGGUUUGAGAAUAUUGUUAGAUAUCUUCACUCCAUGCACCUCCAGCAAUGAUUAGGGUUAAAGAUGGGGUGACAGAAUGCUUGAAAUAUCCUUGGGAACAAAGAGACAAGUUUCAUAAACCGUCAAGAUUGCAGGAAUGUGAAUAUUAUUGCAACCCAUCCAAAUUGUUGGUUGGCCAGUGCUGUAGUUUAUCUGCUUGGGCUAUAAAGCUGGAAUUGUAAUACUGUUUAGGUGGGAAGUUUAAGUUCCAUUAGAAUCCUUAGGCAGGCAUCCUUAAAUAGGAUUAGGAGUUAAUUCGCAAGGUUGAAAAUCCAUUUUUACUCAGGAAUCGGGCUACUUGAAAAUGUAGCAGCAUCUACAUCCUUGCCCACCUGCUCUGCUCAUGAAGACAGCUCCUGGGACUUAAAUCAUGGCAAUCUCUAGCAUUUAUAAUGCAUUUUAGACAUUUCACAUUAUUGUGUUGUGGUCCUUAGACCAAACGUCUAACACAGGUCACUGCUAUUAUUUCCCUAUAGCACCUGGUUAUGAAAUCACAGUGGACUCCCCUAAAGCCCCCUACUGAGUUCGCAGCUGCAGCAAGAUUCGGACCAGCGGCUCCUUGAUUCAUAGCUCAGUCUCUUCUCUGCUACACUAUACCAGCUACUGGU